GACAUAGGUCGCAAACGUUCUCCGGAAUUCUUGGGCGUAAAGGAUGCGUAGAUGGUUCAGUAAGUUACUGGUGGGAAAUCGAGGCCCAACCUCGUGGAAGUUAGUAAUACUGUUGAACUUGAGUGCAGGAGAGGUUAACGGAACUUCAUGUGGAGCGGUAAAAUGCGUAGAUAUAUGAAAGAACAUCAAUAUAGCGAAGGCAGUUAACUAUUCUGCUACUGACAUUGAGGCAUGAAAGCGUGGGGAGCAAAACGG
rnacentral:rRNA from 1 species